AUGCUCAUUUUAAUAGUCUAUGUACUAAAAUUGGAGUGAUGCAAAGAUUAGCAUGGCUCCUGCACAAGGAUAACAUGAAUUUUGCUCCAUAUUUUAUUUUAUUUU